AUUUGUGAAAAUGUUGCAGAGAAGAGCAUAUGUUAAUACAAGGAAAAACUACGGUGUGAGCUGCGCAUGGCGCGCGAAUUUCAUUUGGUGAACCCUCACUACCGACAGUCAUUGGUUUGGCGGCAGUUGGAAUCAAAAGUAAAAACUCAGGCUCCACCGGUGGUUGCUUUCAUUCGGUUAGGUCGUAUGCCACUGGUAGCAUGUUCUGUUCUGAUUGUGUAGUGUAGUGCUUGGUUCUUAUACACAUUAGAUACAGUGUCAGUGAAAGUUUAACUGGGCAGUAGAAGAGCCCGACGGUUUCAAGUAUUCACCACGUUCUGCAAAACAUAACCGGAGUAUAUUGAUGUGCACUUCACGGUGAACUUGCGUUGGGGAAGACGUCUUUGAACUUGAGCUGUAUUUGCAAUCAAUGAGCGUAAUGACUACGAUUGGGAUUGGAACUCUGGCACUAUUCAUAUUGAAUAUAUGCGUUAUUUAUGCAGAGCCAAACGCUGGAUCAAAAAUAACAAAGGUUAUACGUGACAAAAGAGAUAAUUAUUUUAGUGAUAACGUGGAACAUUUCUAUCCGAGCUUUAAUCAACUCGAUAAUGCAAUAACCACUGUAUUGCCGCUAUUGGACUCAGAUGGCACAUCGAAAGUGGUUACCGAUGCACCCGUUGACGACGAUGACGAUGAAGAUGACGCACUAGUUUCACAUUCGAUCAAUGAUAGAAUGCAUUAUUUUCGCGUAGCAUCAAAUAACCGGAUCAGGCCGAUAAUCCUUCCCAGCACUGAAGAAAAGCUGAUCUUGGAUUUGUACAAAGGCGAUUCUACUAACAAUGGUUUGGAUGCUCCAGAGAAAAAGUGGGAUCCCCUCUAUCCGAUUAAACUCAACCAGAAACGAGCUCCUUCCGGUUUUCUUGGCUUGCGAGGAAAAAAAUAUUACUACAAUGGGGAAAAGCGUGUACCUUCUGGAUUUACAGGAAUGCGAGGCAAAAAAUCGUACUACGACAUGAGUAACGAUGCUAACGAAAACUAUGGUCAGUUGGAAUCACCGAACGACGCUAACUAUAACGAGCUAUUGCAGAAAGAAAAUAGAUUGGUUGAUGAGUUGAAUCAAAUCUAUCAGAUGAUUCCAGAAAUAAGGAAAAAUCUUUUGAUUUCCGGUGUAAAUAUUCUUGAGCGUGCUGAAAAUAGAGAUUUCAUUGAAAGGUGCGGAAAAGAAAUAAGUGAACCUGGACGAAAAUAUGCUGAAGAAAAACGGGCACCAUCUGGAUUUUUAGGAUUACGCGGUAAACGAGAAAGCGAAGAAAGAAAGCGAAGCCCAUUCUCCAGUUACUUUGGAACACGAGGGAUAAAGGAACCAAUGAGGUUUGUCUCAAAAGCUUCGAGAUAUUAUGGAAGUCGGGGAAAAAAGUACAAAUACAUCGGAAGUUUUGUUGGCGUCAGAGGAAAAAGGUAUACGGGAGUAACGAAUUCUACAGCCAACUUGACAGGAUAAACUGGCCAAGCAAUGAGCUUCAACUAGAAAUCAAUCGAACGCCUCCCAAACGGGUGCCCAGUGGAUUUUUAGGACUACGAGGAAAAAAAUCAACAGGUGAAGAUAUGAAUUAUGGCGAAUGAACUGUUAAAUGAACUCUCAUUAUUACCUAGAUAAAUAAAAAUUAAUGUAAAGUGGACUCGCUCAAAUAUCAAGUAAUCUGUAUAUUUUCAAUCAUUGCGACUAAAAUAGGCUUGGCGCUUAGGUAAUUGUACUAUUGUCAGGUUAUUAAUUUAAAAAAUGUAGGUGGAUUAUAAAUUGCCCCAAAGUUGUAUACUAUUUUUAAAUGAUUGAAUAUUGCAUAUUCUGGAAAAUAUUUUCUCAAAAUAAAUUGGAAAAUUUAUGAAUAAAAGAUAGUUAGGUUAAAUUCGUUUUGAUAUAUUAGAGGUAAGUUCUGCUAGGACCGUACGUUUCAAAUUUAUUCUUUAUAUCUAAUCCAUAUGGACAGAAGAUUCAAGAACUACAAUUUAUUCAUUGAUAAACUCAAUGUGUUUAUAUCGACUUAUUUGAUUGUAUACAAUUUCAAAUAGCAAUGAGCAUAUAGUAUUAUUAUAUAUUGAAAACAUAUCACCGAAAAUUGUAAAUUGUGACAGGAAAAAGCUACAUGUAUAUUGUAGUAUUACGAUAGAAUAGUCAUACGAUCCAUAUUAAAUCUGAUAAUACAGAAAAUGAAA